UUCCUUCUACUUCCCGUGAUGGGCUUCUCGCCAGAUGAGGGCAAACAUACUUCCAUGAGAUGUGUACAGUCCCCAUCCGGACACCCAGUGCUGACGUUACAUCCUCUCGGGCAUUUCCUGUUUUCCCCUGGUUUGACUUGUGCAGAAAGCAGGCUCAAAAAAGGACUUGUUCCUCCCUGAAGACCAGCCCUCCCCACAGACUUGCUGGUGGCACCGUCAACCCCUCUCCCUCCGCAGGUUUCUUGUUUGGUGAUUUCAAGACAGGUGCAAUCUGCUUAGCCACUUCAAGACUGCAGCAGAACGAAGGGAGAAGAGAACACAAGGCGUUAGUGCCUGUGCCCUGGCUUCAUCGUGGAAAAGGUGGUCAGAGACUGGACGCCGGGCUGAGCGAGUCCGGACGCCGGGCUGAGCGAGUCCGGUCUUGACGGAAGUGUGAAACUCAAGUAUGAUUUAUUUGAACGGAGGGAGUGAGAGAUUGUGGCUUAAUGUUUUAUUGUGCAGCCAUCAUGCCAGCCACUAUGACCUUUAAGCCAUCAAACAGUUAGACAGAUAUUUUAUGUGCAUGGGUAUUUUUUCCCCCUGCAUAUACAUAUGUGUGUCACAUGCAUGCUUGGUUGCUGCAGAGGCCCGAAGAGGGUGUCAGGAACCAGAGUUACAGAUGGCUAUGAGCAUCCGUAUAGGUGCUGGGAAUUCAACCUGGGUCCUCUUGAAGAGCAGCCAGUGCUCUGAACUUCUGUGCCACCUCUCUGGGUAUUUUCUCUGGAUCGUCAAAUGAGUGUUGUGUUAUACCACAACUAAGAAUAAAAAACCCACACUAUCCGGAACCUUCUAUGAAGUUUUACACUGUAGCUGGGACAACACCGUGCAACCACACAAAACAGGGGAAUAAUAGUAUGGACUAGAAUUACAAGCUGUGUGCUGUGACAUGGUCUUCAUGAAAGAGGUGAGUUGGAGAAGAGGUGAUGAGAAAUGGAAGUGCUGAAAGUCUUCUCUGUAGCUUUAGUGCAGCAUUUCUCAACCUGUGGGUGGCGGACCCCCUCGGACCCUUUGGUAGGGGUCACCUAAGACUAUCGGAAAACACGGAUAUUUACAUUAUGGUUCACAACAGUAGCAACAUUACAGUUACAAAGUAGCAGCAAAAGUAAUUUUACGGUUGUGGGGGGGGGGGGUCGUCACCACACGAGGAACUGUGUCAGAGGGUCGCAGCACUAGGAAGGUUGAGAACCACUGCUUUAAUGUUCUGCUACACGUGGCUCCUGAAGUUCACCCUGAGCACCAACUGUGAUUUAAUUAGCAUCCUGCUCCUCCUGCACCGAAGCUGAGCCGGACACAGUCGGCGUGGUGUAUCUGUUUAUGGAUUCAUGAAUGUUCGAAGGAUCCCAGGUGGACAGAAAACAACGGGUAAAGGCAUUCAGGCAGGGGUGACAUCCUUGGAGAGUUUGAGAUGUCAUGUUCUUGAAGUUGGGAAGCAACAACACUAAGUCUGUGUUGUCUGGAGGACAACAUGAGAAGAAGCAAGAAGACCAGGCGCUCGCUGAAGGGGCUCUUAGGUCUUUGGUCCGGCAUAUUCUCCACUGAACUAGGAAGAGCGGGUAAGUGUGAUGGGACAUAAAACCUGAUUCUUCGCCACUUUUUACCUCUGGGACUUUGUUAUUCACUAACGCAGAUUCGAGAAGUGGAAGACAGUUCACAGAAUUUUACAGAUGCCAACAAUACUGUGGGAUCAUGGCCUGCUGUCUGUCCUGUGUAAGUGAGGUCACUGCCACUCAGGGAGCUUCAGAAAUGAUCAAAGGCUGACCAAACUAGACACCAGGAAUUCAAAGGUCUGGCUGCCUCUGACCUGGCGCCCACCGUCUGUAGCCCUGCGUUUUAAGCAGAAUGGAAGAAAAUCUAAUUAGAAAUCAAGGAAGGCAGUGCGAUCACCGUGGUAACAAGGAUGGCGCUGUAAUGUCGUUCACUGUGGCGUCCAAACACCUGUCGACCUCGGACCUUAUCCAAGCACGGAACUCAAUAUAGAAUCUUUCGUUGGCCUGGAGCUUGCCUGCUAGGCGAGUGUGCCUGGCCAGGCAGCCCUAGAGAUCUGCUUACCCCUGCCAUCCCAGUCUGAGAACACAAGCAGAUGCCACUUUGUAGGCUCUGAAGAUCGAACUCGGAACCUUGUGCUUGCAACACAAGUACUUUUACUAACAAAGCAAUCUUCACAGCUCCAGGUGUGAAGACCUCUUAAUGCCCCGACUCACUUUUUCAUAUCUGUCAAAUAAAAAUAGCAAUAUACUGUAGUGGGUAGCCAUUGGUCUGGAAGUUCCAACCCCUAUUGAGGCUUCGGUAACUAUCACGCGUACAAGGCGGGGCCAAGAGAGGGCCCUGAAGACCCAAGAUCCGGAUGCACCGCGCUUUGUUGUUUUCUUGGACCCUGGACACUAGAGGUAGACCAAGGGGAGUUUUCCAGAGAACACCGCCGGACUGCGCUACGUCUUUCCCAGAACCCACAACCUACCUAUCCCUUCCUUUGUAAGCUACGCCACUAAAUAAACCUCCC